UACGUAGGGGGCUAGCGUUGUCCGGAUUUAUUGGGCGUAAAGAGCGUGUAGGCGGCCAUGUAGGUCCGGUGUGAAAACUCGAGGCUUAACCUCGAGAUGUCAUCGGAAACCAUCUGGCUAGAGUCCGGAAGAGGAGAGUGGAAUUCCUGGUGUAGCGGUGAAAUGCGCAGAUAUCAGGAAGAACACCAAUGGCGAAAGCAGCUCUCUGGGACGGUACUGACGCUGAGACGCGAAAGCGUGGGGAGCGAACAGG
rnacentral:rRNA from 1 species